rnacentral:rRNA from 1 species
UACGGGGGGGGCAAGCGUUGUUCGGAAUUACUGGGCGUAAAGGGCUCGUAGGCGGCCAACUAAGUCAGACGUGAAAUCCCUCGGCUUAACCGGGGAACUGCAUCUGAUACUCGAUGGCUUGAGUUCGGGAGAGGGAUGCGGAAUUCCAGGUGUAGCGGUGAAAUGCGUAGAUAUCUGGAGGAACACCGGUGGCGAAGGCGGCAUCCUGGACCGACACUGACGCUGAGGAGCGAAAGCCAGGGGAGCAAACGGG